rnacentral:lncRNA from 1 species
GCUACCGUCACUGCCACUGCCACUGCCACUGCCACUGCCACCACGGCUACUUACAACCCCCUCACCUUGUUACGUUGCCACCACCACAACACUACCACUAAUAAAAUCGCCACUACCAGAUCCAAUUUAUUAUGAACAAAAAUCACGACAACCACCUCUAUUAGAUCUCUAGCCAUCAACAAACACCUCCACCACUACAAAAUUCCACCACCACUACCACCACUAUUGCACUACCACUACCACCACCACCAAUAAUAACCCAACAACCAAAACAAUCACCAACGAGAACAAAGAACCUCCAUCUCCAUCUCCACCACACCACAUCACACAUACCACAACCACCACCUAACAAAAAAAACUCCGAACCCAUCACCAUCACCACGACCACCACCACCACCUCAAAUCCACAAAGAACGAAUAAUAGACAGGAGUUCUUAGGAGUGUGUGCCACCAGAUCUUCACUUUCGUUAUCACCAGAUCACCGUCUUGGAAGUGGGUGCCACUAGAUCACUGCCUGUAGUGCGGCAUUGUGAGCAGAUAAGAAGUGGCACUCACACCCUCUUGUCGUUUCCGUUGUCAUUGCUGUAACCAACGGUGUUGAGAAGAAGAAAAAAAUGUAGGGAGGAAAGAAAUCACCAGUGAUGGUUAGUGAAUAUGGGGGUGGGGCGGUUGGAGGGUGAAUUAAUUUAGGGUUUGGGUAGUGAAUGUGUGUUAUGUAGAUUUUAUAAUAUUUUUAUUAAUAUAAAUAAUUAAAUUAAUACAUGAUAUUUGAACAAAUAAACUUGAUACCUGAUUUAUGAAUUGUAAUAUUUAAAUACUUACUGUGGUGUAAUUUCCACAUGGAAAAACUAACGAACUUGGACCACAAAGCCCAUUAUCAUCAUUGCCCAAAAAUUGCAUUGGACUGGCCCAAUUUAUUUUUGGCAUCAGCACACCACUGCAUCAAAUUUCUUUUCAGUAAGCCUAUAUUCCUUCCUAACCUUGGAUAGAGAGUGGUCAUUUGAAGGUUCAUAUUUCUCUACAGAAACUCCUUUGAUAUAUCCAUUCAUGACCCACCUACAAUUAAAAUGUGUAUGUCCAAUUGGUGAGCAAGAAGUGCCAAGGACAAAAAAAAAAUUUAGAAUGCAAUCACACGAAAGGAAAAUUGAUCUAUUGUAACCUAGCAUGAUGAUUAAGAGGGAGGGGUCGAUAAAUGCAAAUGUUGCUAGAAUUGAAAAAAGACUGUACAAUAAUUGAGCCAAUUGAAUAUUCAUGAGUUGCUAAAAAAUUACCUUUUCGUUGUGUGGCUAGACCAAAUAAUGUACAGCAAUAAUGUUAUAACAUAAAAUAAGUUUCAACCUUUCAAAAAAUUAAAACCUAUUAAUUUUCAAUUUUCUUUUCAAUUUUCAGGUUUAGUUCAAAAAUUUUAAAGUCAUAAUUUUGGAAAUUUGUCCCUACAAAAGGAAAUGGUUUUCAAUGUGUUAAACACAACUUGGAAGAUAAAUAUUCUAUACAAUUCAUAAUAUAUUCUUAUAUUUUUGGCAUCUUGAUAAAGGCUUGUCCCAUAUCUCCCUGUGGUCGUAUCCAUGAAAGGAGAACCGACUAUAAGUCACAUGAAUUUUAUUUUGGAGCCGUGCAGUGUCGAAAGUACCCGCACGAAGUCCUUGACGUAACUCCCCAAAGCUUGCAUUCUAAAUCUCUUCUUAACUUUAUGUUCUAUUAUUGCUGAAUUGUAUUUGUUAUUUUAUUGUGGUAGUUGAUAAUUAAUUUACACACAAAUCACUAACUUUUUCCAGCAAUCUAAAGUCGUAUUAGAGUGAUUUGUGCAUAGUGUAGUGUAUGAUUUUCAAAGUGCUUGAAUUGUCCAACUGUUGAAUUAAUUCGUUCCUUGUCAAUCAUGGAAGAUGCAAAUGUUAUUAAAGGUAAAGAUAGAACUAUUUACAUUGCUUCUGAAUUUGCUGGAUACCAGGAAGGUAUAUCCGUUCUUUGUUUUCAAAUAGUCUCUCUUACAAAUUUGAAACACUGUAUUAUUUGACUACACUGUGCAGCAUUGUUUGUUUGAAGUCCAUUGCAACGCCGUUAAAAUAUUUGUUUUUGUUCAAAUUAGUGGCAUUUUAUCGUAUGUAACUAUCCUAUUCAAUCGAACCUAGAAUAAAAAUUUAAUGGGUAGAAGAUAAAAUAAGAAACAGGUCCAUUUGUGAAAGGGGAAAAACUCCUUUAUAGGGGACAUCAGUAAAGGUUAGUGUUAUGGCUAAUGAAAAAAUAAUAAUUCUGGAUCCUAUUUCAAUAUUACAGCAACAUUUCAAGCUCACUACAACGUGCAAGUUUAGACCAGAUAGAAGCACAUUAAAGAUAUAUAAUUAGUAUUAUUGUGGCACUUCUAGAGUAUUAUGUCCUAGCGAGGAAUUCUGUAAACCUGUGUUGAUCUUGGCUCUCUAUUGGUAUCAUACUUGGUGGUACAUUUUGAAUUAGGAAAAUGCCAAACGACCUGCGUCGUUGACACUCCGGGUGACCACACGCUGACAUGGCCGACGUGGGUCCCUCAUGAAUAAAAUAAUCCCGACCCUCCUUGUAUGUGUAUUAUGUCAACUAUGCGUCACCCGCUCAGACUAUGUAGCUCGGUCCUUUGAAUUAUAGUAUCAAUUUAAUGAGACUGACACUAGACUGGAGGAUUAUAUGCUAUAUAUGUUGUAAUGCAUUCAUAUUCUAAUACUGUUGAGUAGUGCUGAGCCUUAAGCUUUAUUUGAAAUUGAGAUUAAAUGUCAAGAACAACUUAAAUUGGGAUAUAUUGAAUUAUGUCUAAGUUAGUCUUAUUAUAAAUUGAAUCUUUUGGUGAAUUUGAGGAUUAUAAUCAGUACAUUUAUAUUUUCUGUAAUUUGCAUAAUUUAGUGUGGAGAACUACCUAUGUCUUGAUUUUCUACCCUUGUCAAUUCUUGCCUAAUUAUGCAGUGAAGUGGCAAAGGGCAGAAAUAUUAAAUUUAUGCUAGUGUUGGACAGUUUUGGAGAGUGAAAGCAAAUUGCUAGACAUGUGAUUUACGUUACGAUGUUCAGUAUUGUUUCUGUUGCACUAUGAUGUCUUGGUAACUAUAUUGGUAGUGAAUGCAUAUAACAAGCAUUUAAGAAUUUUUGGUCAAUUGAAAAGAAUAAGAUGCAAGGAUAGCUUCGCAAGAAAGGAACAAGAAAUAAUUACUUUAGUACCGCUAUUAAUUUCCUGAACAAACUUAAAGAUGACAUUUAACCUUUGUGUUUUGACUUAUUUAUUUGCAAUCAUUCAUGAUAUAACCAUGGCUUUUUCAGACUGUAGUUUGUUCACGAAUUUUUGAAGAAUUUUAAGUUUAAAGUACUGAAUUACCAAUUUUGAUUUUAUUUCAAUUUUGAUGGUGUUUCGUGCGGAUAGUCGCUAACAAUUAAAAAGGGAUCAGACGAUUGUGUAAAGGACAAACCUCUUGAAACAAAGUCCAAAAAAGGGGGUGUUUAUUGGCAAUGACUUUACAAUUGGAACUUAAACAGAAAUGCCUCCAAGGGGCGCAAGUACACGAGUACCGAAAAGAAAUGUUUUAAAUCUAAACUAUGAAAUUGAAAAUACAUAUUCUCUGUUUUAUAGUGUUUGAUAAGGGGAUCCUUUGCUCUAUGUCUUUUCUUCCUUUUAUAUCCCUUUGAUACUCUCUUUGUGAUCAAUCGCUUAGAAAUCGCUUAAUUGCUUUAUAAUUGCCCACUUUCUUCAUGGUGGCCAACUUAUCGUGGAACUGCCGUCUCUAACUGCUGUCAUUACUCUUUUUCGUUCAACCGUUCUCAACUGAACAUCCUUGAAUCGUGGAACGUUAUAAGAUUACCCAAUAACUGCUUCGAUAAUUGUACUUUUGGAUAACCAUAACAUCUCAUGUUUGCUAAGAUCCUGGGCGAUUCGAAAGUUUGGACGAGAACAGGGUCAUAACUCUGGGCGACUGCAAGGCACUUCAUUCGUUCAGAUCCUGGGCGUCUUGUAAGUUUGGGCGAUGGUGUUACCGUGUUCGUUGGCUUCCACUGCCUUCAUUAAUAACCCUAUUUGGGCUUUUAUCAUGAAUUGCCCAGUUGGGCUUCAUUCUUUGGGCUAUUUGAAUUGGGCUGCACUUUUAGCAUGUCAACAAUUACCCCCCAAUAUGGCAGAAUUAAUACCAAUUAUUAAUUUUUGUCAUAUUCACUUUGUGUUUCCCAUAACAUUUGAAAUUCCCAAGAAUUUCCAUCAUUAUUUUCUUCCAUAGCCUGAAAAGGUGCGACGUUGCAAACCCUUAUUACCUCCAAAUACACGUCAUUUCAUCGCACUACUAAAUCACGCCUCAUUGCUUCGCGCUUCUCUCUCGCAAUAUUACUGUUCAUCUUCUUGCUUCUUUGCUACGUUUCUCGAGCAAACUUCAACAAAGUUUUAUUUCGUUCCUAAUGGCUGGUUCACAAUCCCAAUCUAGUGACUCUUUCAGUUUCAAAGACUUCCAGAAACUCCUCACUCAGCCAUAUAUAACUCCUAACUUCCUUGCACCAGCCAAUGCCGAACUCAACGAGUUCUAUCUAGGUCCCUCAUUCAAUAACGCCGAGGCCGUCGAACAAGUGGCGGUGGGCCAGCUGUUCCCUUGUACUCAAGGCCCUCCGUUUCUAAACUCUUUGCCGCUGAGGCCGCUUCGCAAAAGAGGUAUUCGCACUUGGCCUAAAUCUGAUGUUGUUUUCCGUAGAUGGCAUGCUCGCCUUGUGGACCAUGGUCCUACCAAGACAAUUUUUGAUAAUGCUAGGAUUUCUGAUUUGCUAAAAAUCUCUCUUCAACCCCCUAUUUUUGAUUCAACGCUUUUCCCUAUUGCAUUAAGUUUUUGGUUCUCUGAGUAUAAUACUUUUGUUUUCCCUCUUAGUCCCUUGUCCAUUACUUUAAGGGAUGUUGGGGCCUUAGUAAAUUUGCCACCUUUGGGCGAUACCAUUUUUCCUGGUAUUUUGAUUUCUGGUAUCGCCCCAAAAUUUGACAAAAAACUCACCGAGUCCUAUUCAAGCCUGCAAGACUGUUAUAAUCACUCGAGCGCUGAGCCUUCUCAUGCUGAGCAUGUGGCCUUUCUUCAAAUUUGGCUUUGUAAAUAUAUUCUGUGUGUGCCAAGCCUGAAACCUUUUAUGAGCUAUUUACUCAUAGCGCACGAAUUGGCGCGUGGUAGGCCUCUGAAUUUGUGUUCGCACGAAUUGGCGCGUGGUAGGUCUCUGAAUUUGUGUUCUUUCUUUUUGGCCGCCCUCUAUAGAGGUAUGGCUUCUCUCCAAUUCCAAUUGAAGAAUUGUGCAUCUCCCACUGGCAGUGAGCCUCUUUGAUUCACUCAAAUGUGGUAGAGAGCCUAUUUUCCAUCACUUGGUGCUCUAUCCCCUUCUCUUCAUUCUGCUAGUUGCUAUGGGCUAGCUAUUGACCCACUGAGCCCUGUACAUAUAUCCAAAAGGGAUAUUUUUUCAUUCUUUUAUACGUUGAAUUCAAUUCCUUCUUUCCUUCCUUUUCCUCCCUUUUUAACUACUGCUUAUGUGCAUCCCCCAUCUACCCUGGACAAUGCGAGCAUCUCUCUACUCGUUUGGGUUCAGUUUUUGACCGGGAGGGAGUUGUUCCAUGAUAUUUUGACUGGAACUAAUGCCAAAGCUGGGGUUGAAAUAUAUGCUCCCCAAUUUUUUGAUCGUCAACUUGGUUUCGGCCAAACUUGGCCUGUUCCCCCUUGUUAUUCAAGAAAUUUGAUAGAUCGCUUCUAUACCAUAAAUAAGGCAGAGGCAGAAGCUAUAAAUACUCGCAAUAUUCCUUUGACGAGUAACUUUUCAUUACCUCCUUUCAAUCCUAGCCAUGCCACCCAUCCCCUUUUUGAACAACUCUGGCCAUCAGUGCAGUGCAGAUUGUUUGCAACUAAUGCCAAUCGCGCUUUCCAUUCACUGGAUCAGUCGGACAUUUCUUCCACUUCCCCUGUUUUGGUCACCCUUGUGUCCAUUAAGAGUCCUUCCUCUUCUGCUUGUGCUAAACAGUCUGUUCGUCCAUCUAUUUCCCUUCCUGCCAAGCCUACUGCAUCUAAAAGUAUCCCAAGCCGCAAACGGUCAGUCUCAGCAUCUCCUAUUUUGGAGGAUAAUGAUGAUGAUGACACUCCUCUCAUUGUCAGGAGAAAGGUAAUUAAAUUAGUUUACUCACAAGCAUACCUUUCUAUACUUGAAACUUUUCUAUGUGCUGAUGGUUUAUUCGGAUUUCUCAGAAAAGCUCAGCCUCUCCUUCGAAGGCUUUGGUGUUGACAGCUCCUGCUCCAUCACCCUCUACUGAGGCUGCUUCAUCUAAACCAGCUGAUGAAGGGACUACACUUAAAAGAAACCUUCAGUCCCGAAAUCCUCAUCACAACCAAUGGAUGAGCCACCUUCUUUCCAGGGCGUCAGCCCCCCAAACAUUGAACCAGGAGGUAAUACAUUUUUUGAUGUUUUACCUUUGUUUGUGCUAUUAGUUUUUGAUUUGUUGCUUUUUGAGUUCUGCAGAUGCUCCCAUGGGUUUGCUCGUUGUGGCAAAGUCUUCUCGCUCAGAUAAGGGGAAGUCUUCACAAGUGGUGGAGCCACAAGUGGUAGAUUUAGCUGGGGAUAUGCCACCUCUCAAGAUUGCUGAUGAGGUAAUCUCUGCUUCACUUUUACUUCCACUUUGUUCAUUGUAGUGAAAACCUUCAAUGUUGGCAACUUUCUUUCCAGGAUGCUGAUAAGAUUGUGCGUUCCAUCCAGGACUUGUUCACUUCCUGGGGGCAAGUCAAGACGUCUCACCCUACUUCAACCAGUCGUCCUUCUGCUUUUUCAGAGGAAGAUAUGAAGUUCCUUAAGCAGUCGAUAUUUGAGUAUGUGUCCUUUAUGGAUAUGGACAUCGGUCUGGCUAGUGCUGCCAAACAUAAGGAUAAGUUUGAGCAUUUGAAUGCGAAAUUGGAGCAAGCACUGACACUUCCAUCGCUCAAUCUUUCUAUUGAUUUUAAAGCGACGUUAAAAGUUGUCCAUUCCGAGGUUCUCUCCUUGCUGGCCAAAAAUGUUGAACUGAAGGCCAAAAGUACUCAAUAUCUUCGCGCUGUAUCUGAAAGAGAAUCUUUGCUUCUGGAGAUCAACAAAGCUGAGGACGAAUUGAAAGAAAUCUCUUCUGAAGUCAUGAUUGAAGACUCUUUGAUGACCAGUUUGGCUGCACAAAUGAAGGAGCUUCAAGCGAAGAUGGACGACUGCAAGGUGAGAAUGGAUGCCAAAAAACGUAAUGUCUCCCAAGGAAUUGAGCGAACCAAGUCUUUGGUCGAGCAGUAUGAGAAGCUGGAGGUUGAUGAUGAUUUUGUGGCCGAAUUGAAUGUCACUUCUUCUCAGCAGAGCGAGAAUUCGGGGAGACUUAGGGAAAGAAUUCGUUCAGUCUGGGGUGAUUUGUAAUUAAGACAUCUAAUGCCUUAACUUUUCUUUUUGUAAUUUCAUAUUAAUUUUCCCCUUGUAACCUCAUACUGAAUUCUAAACAUACCAGCAACCAUUAUCAUUAAUGAACGAUUAACUUGUCUUCUUGUGUAUUUAUUGACGUUGUCUUUAAUCAUCAACCUCCAAACAUUUAACUGCUUUAUGCUAAGAUUCACGCACAUUUUCUCUUGGUAUUUCUGUCUCUUUUCCUAAAAUUUCAGGCCAUUUGAUUCUAGUUACUAGGCACGAAUGUGGCUGUUCAUAUUCUGUCUCUUCACCUUCAUGCCUCUAUAAAUGCACUUAUAUUCCACACUUAUCAUUUUCACUUCCAUUUUCUUCUUUAAAACCAAUUUGCUGCCAUUGUUUGGUAUUUUGACAAUCGAUCCAAAACCUUCGUCUUCCAUGGAAAUGGAUCAUUUGAUCCGCCCAUUUUGCCAUCUUUCUUGAUGUCACCUUUGGUAUGGGAGAUAUAGGAAAUAUUCUUUGGCCAGCAAAGUUCUUCCCAUCGUCGCCAUGUUCCUUACACGGAGUUUGAUGAUGGAAGACAAUUUUUGAGGACGUCUGCAAGCCACCUUGCUUGCUGAGAGUGCUUCUCAGCCUCCUUUCCCAUCAUUGCAGCGAUGCAUUUAGGAAGGCGAUAUGAGGGUGCUUCAUCUUCCUUUCUGCUUGCUGAGAGUGCUUCUCGGCCUCUCUGCUUGCCUUUGCAGCAGUGCGAUCAGGAUGGCGAUCAAGGCCAGUACAUCUUCUUACUCGACGAUCGACCGGAGAUUAGUUUGCUCUUAAUUGUAGUUUAUAGAGCAUUAAGCAUCUGUAUUUUGCAGCUUUGUAAUGAACGUUUGACAAUAAAGGAAUUUAUUUGAACGUAUUUCGCUCUGGCCCUUUUUACUCUACGAUCGUUCAACGAGAUUUGAUUACGCUUUUAUUUGUUCACUUUUCCAUAAGGAAGGAACAUGUUUUUUUAAAUAUUUGCCAUUAAUGAACCUCAUGUGCUUGGUGCCGUCUAAAUCUUCCAAAUGAUAGGCUCCAUUAGGCAACACAUUAUUUACUUUAUAUGGUCCUUCCCAAUUAGACGACCACUUGCCAUACUUUGGAUCUUUGCUAUCCAAAGGGAGUACUAUUUUCCAAACCAAUUCGCCCAGAUUCAACUUUAGUUUAUAUUGCUUCAUUCGCUCAAAUGAACAUCUUAAUUGUUCAAAAUGGUCCUCUUCUUUAAGGGAUUUGACCACUAUAUCAUCUACAUACAUUUCAACAAACUUGCCUAUAAUACCAUGAAAGAUCAAAUUCAUUGCCCUUUGAUAAGUUGCUCCUGCAUUUUUCAGGCCAAAAGGCAUAACUACCCAUUCAAAAUAUCCUACAGACCCAGGGCAUCUAAAGGCAAUUUUGUGUAUAUCUUCCUCAGCUAUGUAAAUUUGAUUGUAUCCUGAAUACCCAUCCAUGAAGGAAUACAUUACAUGUCUGGCAGUCGAGUCUACUAAAGAAUCUACCAGGGGCAUUGGAUAUUCAUCUUUAGGUGUGGCUAUGUUUAGAUUCCUAAAGUCUAUGCACACCCUUAGUUUACCAUUCUUUUUUAAUACAGGUACGAUAUUGGACAACCAUUCAACAUAUCUGGCCGUUCUAAUAAGCCUGCUUUUUAUAAUCGCUCUAUCUCUUCCUUAAUUUCAGAGAGUAUAUUAGGAGCGAAAUGCCUAGGACGUUGCCUAUGAGGUUUAAAAUUAGGCUUGGUUGGUAAUCUAUGUUCCACCAAAUCUCUAUUUAAACCAGGCAUAUGUUGAUAUUCCCAAGCAAAACAAUCUUUGUACUCCUUUAAUAAAGCGAUUAAUUUAUUACUAACCUUUUGAUUGAGCAUUUGGCUGAUGAACGUUGGGCGAUCUUCUCCUUCAUUGCCAAUAUUCACUUUAAUCAGGAGGUCUUGUACUUGAGCGUAUCCAGGUUUGGCUAUCCUUAUCACUUCAUCGUCCAGAUCCCUUGUAGACACUUCUUCUUCUAAACAAUCCACCUUGUUGACUUCUCGGCCAAUACUUUGUUCCAACUCGAACACUGCCAAUUUGUCUCUUAAUGCUUUCAAGGCUACUGCUUCUUUUGUCUUGUCAUCGCAUUCUUUAUUGAAAGUCAUUAAUUUGGCUUUGAAGGCCUGAAUAUCGGCCAUUUGUCUUUGUUGCUUACAACUCAUUUAAAGCUCCUUGAUUAUUCUUUUGCCAAUUACUAGCUCCUCCAAGGCCAUUAUGUUUGGCCUCGUCUGACUGAACAUUUCAGUGAGUGCAUCCACCGAAAAUGGCUCUUCACUCUGCGCGACAAUCUGAAUUUAUUCUUCAUCUUGGACUACUCUGACAGGUCCAUAAUUUCCUUCGUACAUAAACCUUUCUACUGAGUUUGCUUCUGCGACAAAAGGCCUAUGAUCGGCCUGCACCACCUCUGUUUCGCCCUUGUCAUUCCAAAAAACUAGGUACUGGUGAAGCGAUGAAGGUAUACAACGACUUCCGUGUAUCCAAUCUCUUCCUAAUAACACAUUGUAAUUAGUGGGACCAUCUAUUACAAAGAAGACUGUGGUCCUAGUAGUUGUUUCUAUAGUUAUGUCUAAUGGCAUAACCCCUUUGGCUGAAGUUGCUCCUCCAUUGAAACUCGUCAAGAUGACUUCCGUUGGGAUCAUAUCUCCUUCUGUCUUUGCGAAUUUCCUCAUCAUCCUAGAUAGAAUGGUGUUUAUAGCUGCUCCAUUAUCAACAAGCACUUUUGCCAUAGGUAUGCCGUUAACUAGAGCUUUAACGUACAAUGGCCUCAAGUGUUUGGUCAAUUUCAUGGCUGGUCACUUGAAAAUAACUUUAUCGGCAGUAUCUAUUUCCACUUCCUGCUUGUCCCCUGUCGAGUCACCCUUUUGUGAUAGGUCAACAUGCAGCAUAUCGCAUUGAGCCUCUGUCUCCUGAAUUUCUGUUUUACUGUUUUCUAAUGCUUCUUCUUCAAUUACCCAACCUGUGGGAGGAGGCAUUAUUCUUGGAGGUGAUCCAUACUUUUCAGAGCGAGGCACUCUCUUCUUCCUUUUGGGUGUUCCGUAUAGCACGUAAAAAUCGAAAGAACGUCCAGAUGGUUCUCCCAAUAAGUCUACUUCACGAACCCCCUCUCGAUGUAGUUGCUUCAACAAAGUGUUGUACGAUACUCCUCUUCUUCUUCUUUCUGCCUCUAGAUCGAUUUCUUCUUCGAUGUCUGUCAUACCAUAAUCUUCUUCACCAUUGUAGGCCUCUCUAGAAGUUUGGCCUUCUUCACAUUCCAGCAUGCAUGCUUCUUCUUCGUUAUCAUUCCUUUUUUCUUCUCCCUUCUCUUUAUUCUUGAACUCUUUGGCUAGUAAAUAGUUAUUAGCCACGACAGAAGGUAACGUACCAAACUGAAUAGUAAGGGGCUGAUCUGGAUCUUCUCCAUCCCUUCUGUCUCGCUCAAAUUUCGACCUCCCAGAAGAAGUUUCUGACAAUUCUUCCAUAGGUUCGCCUAUUCCAGUCUCUUCACUGUCUUUGAGAACAUUCUGAUUGGCUGCCUCAAGUAGUCUAGGUGCCUUUAGAUGUAGCGUUCCCUGUUGUUGUCUCAUCAUUCGCCCAUAGUUCCGUUGAAAACGCCUUUGUUGGGUUCUAGUCAUCUCGUUGAAAGGUAUCGCCCUUCCAGCCUUAUACUAGAACGAAUGCCAUACAUUUGGUUGGCGAGGUUGCGGUCUGAAUGUUCUUCCAUUAUUUACUGGCCUGAACUACCUCUCAAAAGGCAGUCCCUUAUAGAACGAUGUACCCUGCCCUCUACCAGGCUGAGCGUUUGGGGAAAACUAGAGCGAUGGUGAUGCUGCCAUAUCCCUGGUUUCUCUGCAUUUGCACUCACUUCUUUUUUGCACCCUGCACAUAGGACGUCUUCAUCCUUUUUGGGCUCCUUCCCUUUAAUACGUUCAAAGACACUGGAAUGUGGUCCAGCUUCUUCUUCUCUAUCAUCUAUAACCAACUUGAAUUUUGACAACUUGUUUCUGAAACCAGACGUCACCACGUUCACUCCAAGUGGCUGUGAAAAAGGAUUUUCAUCCACUGUCAUCUUCCUCUUAUCCUCGAAUGUAAUUCGUCCUUUUUCAAUGGCAUCCUGUAACACAUGGCGAAAAACCAAACAAUUGUUAGUCAAAUGUGACCAUGCAUUAUGCCACUUACAAUAUUUUUUACCCUUAAUUUGUUCAGGACUUGGCAAUUUAUGCUUAUCGCUCAACUUUAUUUGCUUAUCCUUAUAUAAUUUAUCAAUUAUAAGGUCAGCUUUGGUUACAUCGAACUAGAACGUUCUAGCCUUUAUGUUUUCAUCUUUUAUAGGCUCAUCUUUGCUUGACGGUCCAAGUUUAGCCAUUAUAGGACAAGUAUAUGUGUCUCCUUUAACUAAUUCGGCCAAACACAUUUCGAUUUGAUCGUAAUACUCGUCGUUGAUGGUAUGAAUAUCAAAAUUUGGGUCUCUAUAAUAAGUCCCUUUGCUGAAAUUUUUCAUUUGUUCUUCCUCUCUUAUUAAUCGUUCAUACCUAAUCACGUUCGCGCUUAAUUGGAAAAGAUCAGGAAAUUCCUUGUCUUGGAACUUCUUGUUCAAAUCAAAGUUUAGACAAUCUUGAGCGAUUUUGACAAACUCAUUUUCUGGCAAAGGUACAAAAUAUUUACUUCUUGCUAUUUUGAACCUUUGAAGGAAACCUUCUGCCCAUUCGUUUGGCAUUUGACGUAGAUUCACCCAAUUGGCCAAAGUAACUUCAGACUCAGUCUUAUAAAACUGAGCGUGGAACAAUUGCCCCAAUUGUUGUCAUGUUUGAACAGAGUUUGCUAGCAAAUUGAUGAACCAGGAGAAGGCUACUCCUGUUAUUGAAUUAGGGAAUAGCCUCAUUUUAUGGUAAUCAGUUACGUCACCACUUUGCAGUGUGAAUCGCCCUAUGUGUUCUAGAGUAGACACCUCUCCUAAACCGGUAAACAGUGAGAAUUCUGGCACUUUAUACCCUCUAGGCCACGGAUAUGCUUGGUCUACCCAAUCAGGAUAUGGCUUUGUGUAAGUCGGCCUAAUGACAGGACGUACUCCGAAAGCCAUCUGGUCCUGUACAAUUUUCAUAAUCUGAUUCCUCAACAUGACGUUGGGAUCAUAUGGAAUCCCUACAGGUUGGUUGACUGGUUGAUUUGCUUGAGGCCUGAUAUUUGGUCCUUGAUUGGGAACAAAGUUACCAUAAUUUGGGUCAUUGUUACCAUUAGCCUGAACAUUUAUUCCCUCAUUAACACGUGGGAUAUUCUGCCCAUUAUUUAGGACAUUAUCUCUUACAUUUGGAUUACCCCCCAAGUUAGACAUACUAAUGCCACUAUUCUGAUUUGGUAUUGCACCAUCCCCCUGGUUUGAAGUAGAGGGAUCAAAAGGUGGUUCUACCCCUUGAUUUAAACUUAGGAUUGGGGAAUUAUGUCCCACAAUUGUCCUAGUUUGAAAGUGGUUUGUAAGAGGCACAACUGGCUGACAAAUUUGGCCUACCAACUUAUUCAUUAUUUCGUUCAAAGUAUUCAGUUGUUUGGCCAUAUUGUCAUAAUGUGCAUUCCCAUUCUGGGUAAAUCUUUCCAUAUUAUGAAUACUUCGUAGAUUUACAUGUUCAACGAUAUCUUGUGUGAGUUCUCCGAGUAAUGCACGCAUGGUUCGAGGACUCAAUUCUGUCAUUGGUUCGUAGCGACUGUAAUUGCUUUGAUCCUAUCCAUCUGUUCAUGGAGAGCUAUGCUGCUCCUCAUAUCGCUCGAUCACAGACUGGACUCCUCCCUGGCUUGCUGUUUCCUUAUUGAAUUUCUGAGGCAUAUUGUUUCACCUUUUAUAUCUUCAACACCAAACACCAAUGUCCCACUAGGCGUGGCAAAUUGUUUCGCGUGGGUAGACGCUAACAAUUAAAAAGGGAUCAAACGAUUGUGUAAGGGACAAACCUCUUGAGACAAAGUCCCAAAAAGGGGUGUUUUAUUGGCAAUGACUUUACAAUUGGAACUUAAACAGAAAUGCCUCCAAGGGGCACAGGCACACGAGUACUGAAAAGAAAUGUUUUAAGUCUAAACUAAGAAAUUGAAAUUACAUAUUCUCUGUUUUAGAGUGUUUGAUUCGGGGGUCCUUUGCUCUAUGUCUUUUCUUCCUUUUAUAUUCCUUUGAUGCUCUCUUUGUGAUCAAUCGCUUAGAAACCGAUUAAUUACUUUAUAACUGUCCACUUUCUUCAUGGUGGCCAACUUAUCAUGGAACUGUUGUCUCUAACUGCUGCCAUUACUCUUUGUCGUUCAACCGUCCUCAACUAAACAUCCUUGAAUCGUGGAACGUGAUAAGAUUACCCAAUAACUGCUUCGAUAAUUGUACUUUUGGAUAACCAUAACAUCUCAUGUUUGCUAGGAUCCUGGGCGAUUCGAAAGUUUGGGCGAGAACAGGGUCAUAAGUCUGGGCGACUGCAAGUUACUUCAUUCGCUCAGAUCCUGGGCGUCUUGUAAGUUUGGCGAUGGUGUUACCGCGUUCGUGGGCUUCCACUGCAUUCAUUAAUAACCCUAUUUGGGCCUUUAUCCUAAAUUGCCCAGUUGGGUUUCAUUCUUUAGGCUAUUUGAAUUGGGCUGCACUUUUAGCAUGUCAACAGAUGGUUAUUAUAUUUUUAAGUUUUUGGACAGUUUCAGCGUGCUAGUUUCCAAGGUAUAUGCAAGUUUUUUGGCAAAGCACCUUGCCAAUCCUCUCAAUCCCGCGUAGUGCAUCCCUUAGUUUUCCAAAAUUAAUGGUGAUGGGUUACCAUGGGUUUCUUUGUAAUGAUGUGUAUUAAUUUUCUUUAAAAGCGAAAGAAAAUUGUUGAACUCCAAAAAUGGCACCAACAGAUGUCCGGCUUCAUCCCCUCCAAACCUGCACACAUAACACCCUGUAAAGAGGCAAAGGCCAUCGAACGAGAAAAAGGUCCAACAAUCAUUUGCACUCUGACGGUCAAGUUAACGAUCGGACGAAGAUAAAUAUAUAGAGUACAAUAGUAUGAAAAUGGGACAUUUGGCUAGAGAGUUAAGACAUACCUUAAUUGUGUGAAUGGAUCCAUAUAUAUAUGUGUGUAUGUGUGUGUGUGUGUGUGUGAAAUGGGCCAAACGGGUUAGUGGGCCUAAGUCCGAGCCCAAUAAAGAGGUGAUUAUAUAAGCAUAUUAAUAGGCACCUCGGUAGGAGCCUUGGCUGGACUUCUUAGGGCCUCGGUGGCUCUUUGGCUGGCCUCUUUAGAGCCUCGACUUUGGGGCCCAACUCUAAUGGGCCUCGCCCGAGUCCAAUAAGAUGGCCCAAUAUAGGAUGAUAAUUUAUAGACGUAACAGUAGCCUCCCAAGUUCAUGGGUGAAUAUUUAUAUCAGCCGUAGACUUUUUAAGAUCAGCUGAGUGUAUGGUUGCUGCUGCGGUUGUAGGUUCAACUGUCUCUACCAAAGCACUAACCCACAGGGAAUGACACGUAGGAGACGGCUGAAGCUUGUGAAGCUGAAGCUCGAGGCUCAUCUUCGAUCGAAGCACUAACCUACACAGGAUGACGCGCGGGCUGAAGCUUGUAAAGCUGAAGGUCAGGACUUAUCUUCGACCAAGGCGUUAACCUAUAAUGGACGAUGCGCAGGAGAUGGCUACAGUUUUGUAAAACUUUUGCAACGCUGCGACUGAGGCGAUGACCCACAGGAUCUUCCGUGUCGGGAGGGUUAAAACUUUGUAAAGCUGAUGGAGAAGCUCAUCUGCGACCGAUGCAGGAGAUGGCUGAAGCUUUAUAAAGCUGAUGGCAAAGCUCAUCUACGACCAAUGCGCUGACCCAUAAGGGACGACGCUUGGGAGAUGGCUUGAAGCUUUGUAAAGCUUUUGCAACGUUGCGACCAAGGCAAUGACCCACAAGGGACUCCGCAUCAAGAGUUUGAAACUUUGUAAAGCUAGUGGAAAAUCUCAUCACGAUCAAUGCAGGAGAUGGCUGAAGCUUUGUAAAGCUUUUGCAACGCUGCGACCGAAGUGAUGACCCACAGGGGACUCCUCAUCAGAAAGGUUGAAGCUUUGUAAAGCUGAUGGCAGAGCUCAUCUGCCACCAAUGCGCUGACCCACAGGGGAUAACACUUGGGAGAUGGCUUGAAGCUUGGUAAAUCUUUUGCAACGCUGCAACUGAGGCGAUGACCCACAGGGAACUCCGCAUCGGGAGGGUUGAAGCUUUGUAAAGCCGUGAACAGCAUAUGGUGAAGCAGGAAUAGACGUCCCGCCAAUAACUCUUGAACUAUCAAAGUCUUAGUAACUUGCCUUGGAAUGACGAGGACUUAGAGCCAAGCUCGAUGAUAGUGAGAAGCUAAGAAAAGGCAUUUGGCGAAGCCAUGAAUAAACAUCUGACGAGCUAUCGAACGAUCGAAGUCUUAUAAGUUGGCAUCGAAUAGAAUAGGACUUAGAGCUAAACUCGACGAUAGAGAGAUAAGGAAUAAACAUCCCACGAAGUCGGGAAUAAACAUUCUACGAACUACCAAACUAUCGAAGUCUUAUAAGCUAACCUCGAAUAGAUAAGGACUUAGAGCUAAACUCGACGAUAGUGAGGUAAGGAAAAGACAUCUCGCGAAGCCAGGGAUAAACAUCUGUUGAACUGUCGAACUAUCGAGUCUUAUAAAUUGGCAUCGAAUAGAAGAGGACUUAGAGCUAAACUCGACGAUAGUGAGAUGAGGAAUAAACAUCCUGCAAAGCCAGGAAUAGAGAUCCGAUGAACUAGCGAACUAUUGGAGCCUUAUAAGCUGACCUCGAAGAGAUAAGGACUUAGAGCCAAGCUCAACAAUAGUGAGGUGAGGAAAAGACAUCUCGCAAAGCCAGGGAUAAACAUCUGGCGAACUGUCAAAUUAUCAGAGUCUUAUAAGCUGGCCUCGAAUAGAAGAAGACUUAGAGCUAAGCUCAACAAUGGUGAGAGACAAGAAAUACACAUCUCUCAAAGCUAGAAAUAAACAUCCGGUGAGACGGGGAAUAGACGUCCGGCGAAUAACUCGAACUAUCGUAGUCUCAGUGACUUGCCUCGAAUAUACGAGAACUUAGAGCCAAGCUCAACGAUGGUAAGAGACGAGGAAUACACAUCUCACGAAACCAGGAAUAAACAUCUGACGAGGCGGAGAAUAAACACCCCAUGAAUAAGGCCAGGAAAGGCUCCUUUUGCAAGGGCAGCCUCUUCCUUUUUUCAAAGAACGAGAACUCAAAGAUAUUGCCUCUUCCUUUAUUCAAGGAAUGAGGACUCAAAGAUAUAGCCUCUUCCUUUAUUCAAGGAAUAAGGACUUAAAAAAUAAAGUGUGAGAUAAUAAGAAAUCCAUAAUUUUGGGCUCGCUUUGAGCAAUUAGCAUGAUCAAUGGGGCUUUCCAAAUUGCCACAACCAAUACCACAUCAUAUAAAAUCUGUGGCCAAUUUGGCCUUGGAUUGAAGAUAUCAAUUUAUUUCGUUGCAGAAAGUUGUGAUAGAGCAUUCACAAAAUUCUACAAUGCCAUUAGUUCUUUCCGCCUUCCAAUUUGGUUACCAUAAGAUUGAGCACAACAAAGUGGGCCACAGAAUUACCACUCUUAAAUAUAACAAGCCCAAAAAGAAGAAGAAUUGCUAGCCCAUUAAAGAACUAAAGAACGAAUAACUUUUACAAGCAGGAAUGGAUUAGCGAACAUAAAUUAGCUAGCCCAAUUACAGUUUAUGAAUGUGGAAAUAGGAAUAAUUCCAACAGGCCAAAUGAAAAAUAUGGUAAUAAUAAUCCUACCAAAAAGCUUAUAAAUGGGAGCAAUAACAUUUGAUAAAGGCUUAAAAACUCACAACCCACUAAGCACAUAAACUUGGGAGAAAACAUAUUGUAGCAGCCUCAGACAAAAGACGGUACAAGAAAAUUGAAGUAUCCAAUAGGUUCCAACCAUUUUAGACAAGAAGAGGCCAUGAGGCCCAAGGAAAUUAAAUUAUAUGACCCAAUAAUACAUACCCAUAGGUGGACCUCAAUAAAAAGCCUUCAAGCCAUUUUUAUUUUUGUGAACUUAUUGGGCUAGAAUUUGAAGAAGAAUACCAAUCACUUUAUACAACCGGCCCAGUAAGACGGCAGCAAACAGCACAUGAAGUAGCCACAAUCUGGAGAAAAAUUGCCUACAAAAGUCUUCUUAUCUAUGCUACCAAAUCAAUCUGCAAAAGAUAGAAAUGGACAGCCUAAGAAACUGUCAACACACGCAACCUCUCUUGUCCCCCAUCAAAAAAUUAAUGCUUUUUACCACAAUUGGUUGGAGGAGCUACAAGCACCUAUAGGGAUGGCAACAAGUCGAGCCUAGCCGACUCGCUAGCCAAAAAUCAAGGCUUGGGCUUGGCUCGAGCUUUUUGAAGAUAGGCUUUUUGUUACCCGAGCCGAACCGAGCCAAGCAAAAGUUCGGCCAAAAAGUCGAGGCUCGGGCCUUACCGAGCCGACUUGAUUUUUUUCUCUUUUUCUACUUUUUUUUCUUUCUUUUUCAGAAGGUAGCUGGUAGCUGCCUUUGUAAAGGCAACAACCAGCUGCCUUUCACGCUACCUUAUCUCUUUCUUUUUUUUUCUUUUUUUCGAGCAAGCCCACGAGCCACACGGGCUGGCUCAGGCUCGACCUAGCACCUCAAGAUGGGGUUUGAACCGAGCCUAAGCUCGGUUUGAUUGAGCUUCGAGCCAAGCCGGCUAGAGCUUUUUGCGGAUCAGGCCAUGGGCGGCUCGAGCCCUCGAACCUUUUUGUCAUCCCUAAGCACCGGUGACUACCUUGCCAGAAGUCUAAAAAUUUCAUUCGCUAAUGUAGCCAUAGAAAAAAUUUUGAGCUUGAGCAUUUUGUUAAACACAUGGUGUGCAACCUCAUAGCGUGGAAAUGCCUUUACAAAAAGCAUUUUCUCAAUGGAAACGAUCAAAGACCGAUGUUACCAUGUUAGCUUAUGAGAAUUUUGAAUAAGGGUGACUUAUUUUCCUAAUGUAUGCCAAGAGCUACUUGCUGAUCUACAUAAGCCUUCAUCGGAAAAUGUCAAACUCCUUUCAACACGGUUGUAGAAAAUUCUUCAAUUGUUAAGAGUCUUUCUUCUUCCUUUGUUUCUCUUUCUAGCCAUUAUUUUGGAUUUGAAAUUUCUUUCAUUUUGGAGAAGGGUGUUGUCAACAAAGGCUCCAUUUUCUAGUUUGUAUGGGAAGGGAGCUCAAGUAAUUGGUCUAAGGAUAAAGGUUUGGAGUUUUUGUUGUCCAAUGAAGCAAAAGUCAAUUUUGAUUCCAACAAGGAGAUAUUAUCUUUGUUUCAAUCAUGAAGACAGAACCUUCUCCGUGUGGAUGGACAUUUUUUUUUCUUUAUAAACAUUUUCAUGGCUUUUUUCCUUCAAUCCGAGCAUGAGAAACUCCACCAAAAAUUGCUUAAGAUUUGCAAAGCUAUUUUUCCAUUCCAGUAGCUAUGUUUUAUUGUCUAAAAUAACCAUUUUUCAGAGUGGAUCUUUCAACCCGAGUUUCUUCUACCCUUUUCCAGUAGCCAUUUCUCCUUCAUUCUUAAAAAGGUUGAACCCCAACCUUAGGGGCCCCCACCGACCCUGCCCUGGGCCAUUGUGGAGGAGGUAAAUCGCAGGAUGUGCCUCCCAGGAGUCAGGGUGGAGAGCACAUGGAUAGGCCAAGGCUAUUAACCCAUAUGGUAACUCCCGCUUGCAACAAAGUCAAUUCCACCUUGCGGGGAAUCGAACUCUGUACACUGCCGCGCUGAGCCCCAUCCGCCCUCCCCUUUGCCACUGGGAGAUAUGCCCUGGGGGCCAUUUCUCCUUCAUUCUUGGUUGCUGCCUUUGUCGUUUUCUUGGUAGAGAACAGACCAGAAAAAUUCUCUCAUUUCGAUAGCUUUUAGGAUGUGGUAAAACAUGGUUAAUGUACCGUUUCCUACAAACAGCGACAAUCUGUUGACCUCCAAAAAUGGCGUCAACAGAGGUCGGGCCUCUUCCCCUUCAAACCUACACACAAAACACCCCGUAAAGAGGCAAAAGCCAUCAGACGAGAAAAAGGUCCGACGAUCAUUUGCACUCCAACGGUUAAAUCAACAGUCGGACGAAGAUAAAUAUAUAGUGUGCUAUAAUAUGAAAAUGGGGGAUUUGGUUAGAGAGUUAAAACAUACCUUAAUUGUGUGAAUGGAUCCACAUAUAUAGAGAAAUGUGAGUGAAAUGUGCCAAACGGUUUAGUGGGCUUAUGUCCGAGCCCAAUAAAGAGGUGAUUAUAUAAGCAUAAUAAUAGGCACCUUGAUAGGAGUCUCGGCUGGACUUCUUAGGGCCUCAAUGACGCUUCAACUGGCCUGUUUAGAGCCUCGGCUUUGGGGCCCAACUCUAAAGGGCCUCGCCCAGGUCAAAUAAGAUGGCCCAGUAUAGGAUGAUAAUUUAUAGGUGUAACAAAAAUAAAAUUAACAUUUUAGCUUGUGAAACAGAAAGUCCGACACUAGUAGACAUUCAUGCAUUUGGCUGCAGGACUGCAAUCUGUUAAACUAUAGAUGUGUACAGUGGUUCAUAUUAUGAAAAUGUGCAAUGUGUAUCAUAAGAAAUGAAACAUGAAACUAAGAUCUCAUAUGUGAUUUAUCCAUGACUAUUAUAAUUAUAAUGAAAUUGACAUUUUGGGCAAUUUGAAGAUUGCAGGUAAAAUACACGAGCUUAAUGGGUCUACCCAUGAAUGGAUCCAGGAUUAAAUCCAAAACCUAGCUACAAAAUUUCAAAUCGGGCUACUACCCAGAAAAAAAUUACACAUAAAAAACUAAUUUUUUACCAGAAAAUAAAAAUAAAAAAUACCUUACAAAAAUUUUCUGGGCCAGAGAGGGGGGGACUACAGCCCAGCCCCCCAAAUCAGUCUCUCAAUCUGCCUGGUCAAAAGCCAAAAUAAAUUUAACAUUAAAAGUUUAUUUUUAACACUUGUUUUUAUGUGAUUAUUUUUAUCAUUUAACUAAUAUUUUGCAAAUGUGUUUAAGAAAAAAUGCGAAUAUACUAGUGGAUGAAAAUCAGAAAAAUGUGGGAUUAAGAAAAACGUGCAUCAAUCAUCUCUUCAUAAUUUUUAAUCCUAUAUAAAGAGAUAAAUUGUAAGAUCAUAUACUUCCUCAAUUUAGAUUGCAUAUCCUUGAAAUGUGGGGGAAUUGAACUAUUUAAUAGAGUUUUUAUUUCUUUUGUCAAUGCUUGAGGAGAAGUUGGAUGGAUAUCAAAAUGUUAUUAUUAUUAUUUAAGUCUAUCUAAGUUAUUCUCAUUUAUAGUGAUACUAAUAUUUUGUCAAAGUUUUUAGAAGAUUUUGCAAAUAAGCAAGCGGAGAAUGAAAUUUUCCCGAAAUAUUUGGAUCCAAAUUAUUAUCCAAAAGGGACAUGAAAUAAGUUAUAGUUUGUAAUCGACAUAAUAAUUCAUUUAGGGGGAUGGAUUUAAGCUCAUAAGGGAGUAACCUACUAGAGUAACUCAACAUUUGUAAUUGGAGAUCCCCUGAAAAAGUUCAAUGUGUAGAAACAACCUACACUGCGUGACUUGUAAUAGUACUAUUUUAUUUGUGCUCGUCCUUGUGGUGAUAUAGUGCUAAUAAAUGUGAUGUUAGGAAGGAUUUAACCCUGAAUGAGUAACAAAGCAAUAAUUCUCUAAAGAUGUGGGUUACAUGCAACUUUGAAGGACUUACCUAUGUAAAAGUUGCAAUGAGGCUAUGGCUAUAGGAUUAGAUAUUCUCUAGAGACUCUUGCUACAAUCAAAAUUAGAGCACAUGACCAUUAAGAGCGCUGCCCACUAUGAACUAAAGCCUAAAUUGAUACUGUGUGUGGAACAAUCAAAAUUUAGCCAAAGGGAUCUAAUUCAAGAUUUGGUCCAUUAUGGCCUCAUCAGACAGAAAUUAUUAUCACUAAGUGCUGUUCAAGUUCAAAAGACACUUACACUUAUUGCAAAGUAUAACGUUGCCACUAUUAUAUAUAUUUAUCUAUUUGGAAAGUUUAAAACUUGUGGAGGAUUUUUGUAACUAAAAUAAGUUUUAAUUUUCAAAAAUUAAAACCUAUUAAUUUUCAAUUUUCUUAUUAAUUUUCAGGUUUAGUUACAAAAAUUUAAAACUUAUAAUUUUGGAUUAAUUGCGGGGGUUGGACUUUGUCCCUAUGAAAGGGAAUGGUUUUCAUUGUGUUAAACACAAUUUGGAAGAUAAACAUUCUAUACAAAUUCAUACUAUAUUAUUAUACUUUUGACAACUUGAUAAAGGCUCUUUUCUUAUUUUCUUGUGGUCAGCCCAUAGAAAGAGAGCCUACUAUGAGCCACAUAGGUUUUAUUUUGGAGUCGUGUAAUGUCAAAAAUACUCGAACGAAGGGAGGCAAUGCAAUUUUAUAACGACGUCCUUGAUGUGACUCCUUAAGGUUUACAUUCUAAAUCUCUUCUUAACUAUAUGUUAUUUUAUUGUUGAAUUGUCUUUGUUAUUUAAUUAUGGUAAUUGAUAAUUAAUCUACAAACAAAUCACUCAUUUUUCCCAACAAAUAAUUCACUUGAUUAUUUAACUAGCAAAACUCCUUAAGCUCGUAUUAAUCCUUUGCAGGAACAAGCCAACAUUGUUAAGAUACAUUGAUAAGAUAACAAUAUUGUCAAAACGGUUUUAAUUGGAAUUUAAUUCUUUACUCAUCACUCACGUUAACUUAUAUAUUUGUGUCGAAAAAUUGUAUAAGAAACGUGGAUAUUGAGUGUUUUUAAUUUUAUUUAAUUUUAUUUAUUUAUUUAUUUAUUUAUUUUUGUGUGCAUUUGACCUUCAUAGAAUUUGGCUUUUCGCAAAAUUCUAUCAUAUCCUUCAAUUUAAGUAGAUGUGCGAGAUCUAGAAAUUUCCUUUUCAUUGUUAUAGAAGCAGUUGGAUUAAUUGGCUAAUUGGGAAAUUCAUUUUUUUAUGACCAUACAUAAAGCUAUAUUCAUCCUUAAUUUAAGAUUAUUAUAGCCACGACAUAAUUGUUAGGUGAAAUAUUUAUUCGAAAAUGAUGGUUAACGGUGCAUUGGGAUGUGAAGUUUACUAACUACACAAUACGUACCUAAUACAAUGACAUGACCCAAAAAUAGUUCUUCCCAUGUAAAAUCAGUUUUUUUACUAGCUUAAUAAUUUAUGAACGCAUGUGCUUGUGAAAGCGAACUUUUUGUUGCUUAUAAAAUCAUUGGGAGCAAAUAAUGAGAAUGUUCUGGAUCUUAUAAUAUUUUUAAGCAUAUGUUGUAAAAUAAUGAGAUAAUUAUUGAUGAUUAUUUUAGUGUUAUCAUGAUAUAUAGAUAAGUCUUAUUUAAUUUAAAAAAUCUAUUUCAUUCUAAUUGUAACUCUUAGUUUGAAUUUCAUAAAUAUCGAACUUAAUUCUCAAUAAAAUAUACAUUUGAGUUUUGGCUCUUAUAUUCUCUUCUCUUUUUCUCUUUUUUCAUAACAUGUUAUCAGUACGAAAACUUAAUUUUUCAAAGUCUAGUGAGUGUAGUAAUUUUUUAUCGGUAUAAUCAUCUAUUACAUGCAUCAAAAUUAAUUUGAUUACAUGUAAAUCUUAUAUAUACAAGUGGCCACAAUUUUAUGUGUACACCAAUGAUUAACUCUGUGAUUUAUGUACACAUCACGUUGAAUAAUCAAUGAAAUAUCCCAGCUUUUCUUUUUCAUUCACUAUUAUCUUCUAUUAAGUAUAACAUAGAUUCAAUCAAUUGGCACUACAUUUUUUUUGAUCUUCGUCUUUCAUGUACUAGCAUAGAUUCUGUCAAUUGAUGCAGUUAAUUAAUGGUUUAUUUUGUGAGCAUAUAUUCUAGCAAUUGCAAUUGAUAGUGCCUUUGCACUAUUUUGUGAGCAUAUAUUCACCUUUUGUAUUUACACAUUAAUUCGUGCUUUUCUAUCAAUCUUUAUUCAUGCUUCAAGUCAUAUACUAUUUGCUUUAACUUUUAUGGUUAUAUAAUAUACGUUUAAGAUGAUUAUUAAAUGUUAUAUUUGUCUAUAACCUGAAUAAAUAUUUUUGAUGUUCUGGUAUAAACUUUUUUAUUAAUAAUUUAUCAUGUUGUUGCUCCUGAAGCAGCAUAACAUUAUAAUUAAUAUUUUUGAAGAACAUUACUUGCUCCCGAGGAGCAUGAACUAUAUUUUGUUAAUAGUUCAGAAGAAUAUUGACAUAUUGCUCUUGAAUAAACAAUAGUAAAAUAAAACGUGUUCCCAAUGUAGCACAUGUUUCGAAAAAUAUAUUAUUUUAAAUUAGUGUUUAUACAUGAAGAAAAAUACGCAACUUAUGUCAUGUUGAUAUUACUUGAUUAACGAUUAUGUGAUCUUUAAUCAUAUUCUUUGAAACUAAUUGUAAUUUCUUUAUUGUGUAGUUAAUCAAAUGGCAAACAUAAUAAUGUGAUUUUGCUGCACUUGACAAAUCUGACAAAAACUAUCUAUCACGGGUACUCUAUACUGACAUUCAUCUUAUCUCAAAAGGUUUGACAAAAACGAUAAAUAAAGAAACAAAUAAUCCUUGCAGGAUUGUGUAAAAGCACUCAUCUUCCUCCGUUAUCAUCAUCACGAUGGAUCAAAAAUUGAGUACCUCAUUAAGAAAGAUCCAAAAGUUUUGAAAAAAAUGAACUGAAAGAUUUAAUCAUCAAAGGAUUAUAGUUUUCCCCAAAACCCGCUAUACUGAAUGCACCUUCGUUUGCAAGACUUUAAAAUUGUUAGUAAAUACAAUUAUGAACUAUUCAGAAUAUGUUCAAAAUUAAAUUUGUGUGAAGAAAAAAUCACUGAUAAACAUAUGUUGGAGAAAACGUUAUCCAUCUUUUAUGCCUCCUGUAGUAGCAAAUUAUGAACAUGUUUCAAAAAGUACUGAAAACUUAUAUAUUGCUUGCUUGUUGCUAAAUAAAAUAAUGAAUUGCUGAUAAAAAAUCAUAGGUUACGUCCAACUGUUCCUGCUCCAUUGCCUGAAGCAAAUGGUAUCGCAUUGCCUAAAAAAAACAUCAUGACAAUAACAAAGACAUAAACAUGGACAUGGACGUUAAUACUAAAGUGCACUUAGAAUAAGCCAUGGACGAAAUGAUCAACAACAAGCCAACAAUGUCAAAAGGCACAAAGCAAACGAAUGUGGCACAUCUAAAAAGAAGCACAAAGAAAGCUGUUUCGGAUGUGGAAUGAAAGAGCAUCGGGCACAUACCUGUCAUACGGCAAAACAUUUUGUGGAUCUCUACCAAAAAUCAAUGAAGGGAAAUAAAAAAGUGGAAACAAGUUUUGCUGAUUAUAAUGAUCCAAUUAAUGUGACUCAUUAGAAUGUCUCCAAUUUCUUUCCUGAUUCAAAUGAGAAUAUUGGUCACUUUCUCCUUUAUUUAGUUUGAGAUAUAUUUUUACAUUUCGCAAAAAAAUAAAUUAUGCAUUAUUAAUUUCAUAAUAUUGAAUUAUGUUACUUUUUUUAAUUUAAAUUUCAAGUGUUUUAAAUAUAUUUAUUUUGUUAUAUUUAUAAAUUUAUGAUGGGUUGUCAAGAUGCCUGAUUGAUUAAUAGUGCAAUUACACAUACUAUUUUUUGAGACAAAAAAUAUUUUUUUGACUUAAUAUUAGUAAAAAAAUAAUGUUAAUACAAUAUCAAGCAUAUCAAAUAUCAUUGAAGGCUUCAGAAAAACUUAUACUAUUUUACUAAAUAAUACAAAAUUAUAUAUUGACGAUGCACUUUAUUCUAGCAAAUUCAGAAGAAAAUAUCUUUAAAACUAAAUAAUUUCUUCUAAAUUUGCUAGAAUAAAGUGCAUCGCCAAUAUAUUUGUAUCUGACAAGAAUCGGAUAAAAAUGAUUGAGUCAAAUAUUGUCACGAACUAGAAGUUUGUCAACCCAAAAAAAUUUAUACUUUGACAUGAUUGACUUUGACAUUCAAGGGAUAUAAUGAUGUGUCGAAUAAUAAAAAAUUCACAUGGACAUCCUUUAAAGAACUAAAAAAAUCUUUUACGUAAUAACUAUCCAUGUGUAGUUUGUUCACAAGGCAAGUUAUUCAUUAGAUUUUCAACUAUAAAGGUCAAUAUUGAAUUUUCAACUUUCUUAUAAAGAAUUCAUGGAGAUAUAUGUGGUCCAAUACACCCAUCAUGUUGAUCAUUUCGUUAUUUUAUGGUAUUAAUUGAUUCUUUUACUAGACGGUCACUUGUUUUCCUAUUUUCUACUAGAAAUGUAGCUUUUGCUACACUACUUGCUCAACUCGCAAAAUUACGAGCGCAAUUUUUCGAUUAUUUAAUCAAGACUAUUCAUUUUGACAAUACUAGUGAAUUUAGAUCACAAGCAUUUGAUAAUUAUUGCAUAUCAAUUGUGAUUGUUAUUGAAUAUUCGAUUGCGCGUGUCCAUAUACAAAAUAGUUUAACAGAGUCGUUUAUUAAAUGUCUACAGCUUAUUGUUAGACUAUUACUUAUGAAAAUAAAACUUUUAAGUUUUGUUUGAGCUCAUGUCAUAUUACAUGCAGCGUCAUUGAUUCAUAUUAGACCAUUUGUCUAUUAUCAAUAUUCACAUUUGCAAUAACAUUUGGUCAUGAACCUGAUAUUUCUCACCUACGAGUUUUUGGUUGUGCUGUCAAAGUCCCUAUUUUACCCCCACAACUUACUAAAAUAGGUUCCAACAAAGACUUGGGAUUUACAUAGGUUUUGAUUCACCAUCCACUAUUUGAUAUCUUGAACUUUUAACAUAUGAUUUAUUUAUUGUACAUUUUGCAGAUUGUCAUUUUGAUAAAAUGACUUUCCCAACUUUGAGAGGAAAUAAACUAUAUCAUGAAAAAUAAGGUAAAAUUUCUUGGAAUAAAAUAACUCUAUCUCACUUAAAUCCUCGUAGCAAUCAAUAUGAGCAAGAUGUUGAAAAAUCAUUCAUUUGCAAAGAGUUACAAAAUAAUUACCUAGUGUAUUUGUUGACAUAAAAAAUGUGAGAAAAUCAUAUAUACAAGUAGGGAUAUCAAUUGGGUUCGUCGGCUCGGGCUCGAAAAAAACUUGAGCCGACUCGGCUCGAGGCUCGGUGAAAUCGAGCCCCAUUUUUGAGGUUUCGAGCUUUGCCCGAGCAGGCUUGUGUGGCUCACCAGCUCGGGCUUGGGCCUUAUCAUUAAAAAAAAACGAAGAAAAGAAAAAAAAAGUAUUUAAGGCAACAAUGCCAAUGCCAAUAUGAAUAAAAAUAUAAAAAAAUAAAAAGAGAGAGAGAAAAUCGAGUCUGCUCGGCUCGCUAAGCCCCGAGCCGAAAGCUCGAGUCGAACCUUGUUUUUUUGGCUGAGUUUUUGCUCAGCUCGGCUCGAGACCGAAAAAGACCUUUUGAUUUUACUCGGGCCGAGUUUGAGCCUUGAGUUUCCGCUUGCGAGCCGGCUCGACUCGUUGACAUCCCUAUAUACAAGCAGAAAAUAUUCAAGCAAAAAUUGAUAUCUUUGCAGGACAAUCUACUAUAACAAAUGAAUCUCAAAUACACUAGAAACGUAGUUGACCAGUUGGUUCAAAAGACUCUGUACCUCGCAAAAGAAAGGUAUAUAAGAAAAACAAACUAAAAACUUCAAAAGAAGUAACAUUAAAAAAGAUUGAUCAAUCAAAUAUUAAAAAUAUAGUUUCUGAUUAACCACAAAGUGUACGAAAAUAAUGAGAUUUCAAUAAAUAAUAUGCUAUCUCAUAAAUUAUGGGAAUGAAAUAAUAUUGUUAUAGACAAUAUUUUCACCUUCAACGUGAUUUUUGAUAUUAUGCAAAAUGAUGAUCGUAAACCACAUUCUGUUAAACACUGUCAAAAUAGAAAUAAUUGACCAAAAUAAAAAGAAGCUAUACAGGAGGAAUUGAAUUCUUCAGAGAAACAAAAAGUAUUUAGACCUAUAAUUCGAGCACCUGAAAAUGUAAUCACUACUGAAUACAAAUGAGUUUUUGUACAGAACAGAAAUCAAAAAGUCUGUCUGAGAGUGAUUUUGAGAAUUGAUUUUUUGAUCGUUAGGAAAAAAGUGGGGUUCACCUGUGAGAGAAGAAGUCAAAUAUGACGGCUGGAAUAGUGAAAUAAUGGUCAAAAAAUCAAUUUUUUGGGCAAAAAAUUACUCCAAAACAGGUUGAAAAUAAUGAAAUUAUAAGAUACAAAACUCGACUUGUAGCUCAAAAUUUCUCACAAAAACUAGGAAUUUAUUAUAAGAAAAUGUAUUCUCCUGUGAUAAACACCAUUACUUUUACAUCCUUAAUUAGUUUGACCGUGUCACAAAAACUUGGUAUGUGCCUUAUGAACGUAGUAACAACUUAUUUAUAUGAAAGUCUCUGCAAGACUUAAAAUGCCAAGAACAAAUAAUACAUGCUGAAGAAACCAUAUUCUCAAUAAAAUUGUAAAGAGCAUUAUAUGGAUUGAAAUAUUUCGGACGCAUGUAGUAUAAUUGCUUUAGCGAAUAUUUGUUGAAUGAAGUUAUAAAAGUGACGAUGUCUGCCUAUGUGUUUUCAUAAUGAAAUCAAAUAUUGGAUUUGCAAUUGUGGUAGUUUUUGUUGAUAAUUAAAAUUUAAUUAGAACUCUUAAAGAGUGUAACAAAACUGCUAACGAUACAUAUUUUUUCAAAAUUCUUUCAUACACAUAUGCUUCAAAAAAAAUGGCAACAUCGGUAUUCAACAAAUUGAUUCAAGUGAUAAUGUGGUUAAAAAGCAUUGCCAACAUCUAAAUUGAUUCAGAAGAUUGGAAUACUUCAACUCAAAGAUCUUCAAUGAUUCUUAUUAGGGGGAGUAACUCCACUCUUUUACCUUAGUCUAGGUUUUGUUCCACUGAAUUUUUCCAGCAAGAUUUUAAUAAGAUAGCAUUUUCUUUAUACUCCAAAAUAUUAACAAUUAACUGUACUCUUUUUCCUCUUAUUUUUUCACUGGAUUUUUAUCAAACGAAGUUUUUAACGAGACAGUUAUUGAACAAAUAAUCAUCAAAUGGGAAGUGUUGUAAAAUAAUGAGAUAAUUAUUGAUGAUUCUUUAGUGUUAUUAUGAUACAUAAAUAAGUUUUAUCUAGUUUAGAAUAUCUAUUUUGCACCCAUUGUAACUCUUAUUUUGAACCCUAUAAAUAUGAGUACUGAUUCUCAAUAAAAAACACUUGAGUUUUAACUCUUAUUUUAUUUUUUUCCCCUCUUUUCAUAACACCAUAAUAUAAUAUUUAUGUAUAAUAUUAUUAGUUUCCUUUCAUUGGUAGGUUUCUUUUUAGUUUUAGUCUUCUUGUAUAUAUAACAUUAUUCUCUCAAUCGAAAUAUAUUUUUUUUGGGCUCGAUUAUUUUUUUUUUCUUCUUCCCCUUUUCCUUUUUUCCCCCCCAUAUGUUUGAUUCCUUAUGUUUAAUUAUAUAUUAUCAUGGUUUCAGAGCUUAAAUUCGUGAAUUGAAGUUGUUUUCUUCCAUUCAUUCUCAAGCCAUCAGUGCAAUUGAAAAAACUAACCCUAAUCUUGUUUUUACAUAGAACCAUUUCCUUUUUUCACUGUAACUUUUCGAUGUGACCUUAGUUCCGAGAUUAGUGACCAUACUUGGGUUCACGGCGACGAGACAAAUCUCCCUAAUUGGGGAGUGUAGCACGAGGUGCAACACUCCGGUGACGACUGAACCAACACGCGUAGACAUCCUGGAUUCAUACUAAGGAAUGUCAACAAAAUUGAGAUGUCCUGAUACAUCUCUUAAUUCAUUCGAUAUAUUAGUGGUCCCAAAAUGGAUAUGAGACAGUACAAUAAUUGAGCCAUUCAAUUGUAUGAAAAUUCCGUCAAAAUUGUUUCUACCGUGAGUAGAUUUAAACUACACAAUGUAUUGAACAAUGCACAAACAAUUAUAAUCAACUAAUCUAUAAAAAUUUCAAUCAAAUCACAAUAUUCAAAUUAAUUAACAAUAAAAGUAUGAUAUCAACAAUUCUAGAUGCCCACUAAACUUCAUUCGAAAAUGCCUUUCCUUAUCUAGGAAUAUUAGAAUUUUCUCAUUUGAAUUAGAUAAAAAAAAAUUAUUCCCUCAUCUCUUUUUUCUUUACUCUCGAAAAUUGAAUAGAAUCGUGUCUUGACAAAUGUGCUUAGGACAGUAAGAAAAUACCAAAAAGAUAGUCCCUUUGUUUAAUAUAUCUUCAAAUCAAUUAACUAAUAAUUCAUCAACCAUAUUAGAUUUAAACUAGACAAUGCAACUUGUAUUAUCCAACUCAAAGGAGUCUAUAUCAAAUGUGGCAGAACGAAACAUAUUUAUUCAAAAUUCUUUCAUAGACAUGCUUUAGAAAAAUGGCAACAUCGAUAUUCAACAAAUUCAUUCAAGUGAUAAUGUGGCUGAUUUACUCACAAAAGCAUUACUAACAUCUAAAUUGGUUCAGAAGAUUGGAAUACUUCAACUCAAAAUCUUCAAUGAUUUUCGUUAGGGGAAUAGCUGCACUCUUUUUCCUUAAUUUAGGUUUUGUCUCACUGGAUUUUCUUUUAGACAACAUUUUCUUUUAUACUCCAAAAUAUGAACAAAUAACUGUAUUCUUUUUCCUAUGUUUCAUUUUUUUCCACUGGAUUUUUAUCAAACAAAGUUUUUGACGAAAUAGUUAUUGUACAAAUAAUUAUCAAAUGGAAAGUGUUGUGAAAUAAUGAAAUAAUUAUUGAUGAUUAUUUAGUGUUAUCAUGAUACAUAGAUAAGUUUUAUUUAGUUUAGAAUAUCCAUUUUGCACUAAUUGUAACUCUUCUUUUGGACCCUAUAAAUAUGGUUCCUGAUUCUCAAUAAAAGACACACUUGAGUUUUAACUCUUAUAUUCUUUUCUCUUUUUUCAUAAAAACAUAAUAUAAUAUUUAUGUAUAAUAUUAUUAGUUUCCUUUCUUUGGUAGGUUUCUUUUUAGUUUUGGUCUUCUUGUAUAUAUAACGUUAUUCUCUCAAUCGAAAUCUAUUUUUUGAGGGCUCAAUUAAUUUUUGCUUCUUCUUCCCCUUUUGUUCUUUUUUCUAUAUGUUUGAUUCUUUAUGUUUAAUAGUAUAUUAUCAUGGUAUCAGAGCCUAAAUUCGUGAAUUGAAGUUGUUUCUUUCUUCUAUUCAUUUGCAAGCCAUUUAUGCAAUUGAAAAACCUAACCCUAUCUUGUUUUUACAUAGAACCAUCGCCUUUUUUCACUGGAACUCUUUGAGGUUGGUGACCAUACUUGGGUUCACGGCGACGAGACAAAUCUCCCUACCUGGGGACCAUAGCACGACGUGUAACACUCCGGUGAUGACUGAACCACCACACGUAGACAUCCUGGAUUCAUACUAAGAAAUGUCAACAAAAUUGAGAUGUCCCGGUACAUCUCUUAAUUCAUUCGAUAUAUUAAUGGUCCCAAAAUGGAUAUGAGACAGUACAAUAAUUGAGCCAGUCAAUUAUAUGAAAAUUCCGUCAAAAUUGUUUCUACCGUUAGUAGAUUUAGACUACAUAAUGUAUUGAACAAUGCACGUGAAACAUAAUUCUUUCAUUACCAGGCCCCCCAAAUUAUUUAGACAUAGACAUCAGUUGAAUUAAAUAAUACGUUUGUAUACAUAACCCGGGUUAGAUAUUAAGCCCCUGUUCGUUUUUCCCAUUAAAAUGAAAAAUAUGAUCGUUAUCCAUCAUAUCAAAUCAUCAAAUUUAAAUUUCUAACUUUUGUGUGAGGCGCAUAACGAUUAUAUUCAUUCUCAUUUUUACAAAAAUGGAAAACAAACGUCCCCUAAAUUUUAAUAAACCAUCGUGCAAAAAUUUAUCGCUUUCAACCCCAGCACAGUCUAUCGAAUGGUCAUAGCGAUGUUUAACGGCUCUACAAUAAAAAUUAUUAGGAUCAAAGCAAAGAGACCUUAAAAUUUUGAAGUGAUGAGGGUGUGAAUCCUCACAAUAAUUUAAGUGGUCAAGAAAAUUUGGAGUCAACAUAUUGAAAUAAAAAAUAUAGUCGAAUAAGAUUUAGAAGAUUUCAAGUGAUGUAACAGCACAAUCAAAUCAAUUGGUCAUUAAAAAAUCAUUCAUUAAAUCAGAUUCAAGUUUAUGUGCGUAUUGAUUGAAUUAGUAAAGUAACAGAACUUAUACGAAAACAGUGAGUGCGUUGUUUUGAUUUAAUUAGUUGUUAUUUUGUUGGCUAGCUACGGAAAAAUUGCUGAGGGAUUAACUUUAAUUUAUUUAAGGGGCGUUUGUUUCUCAUUUUUGUAAAAAUGAGAAUGAAAAAUAUAGUCGUUAUGGGCUCCACACAAGAGAUAGAAAUUCAAAUUUAGUGGCUUGAUGUGAUGAAAAACGGUCAUAUUUUUCAUUUUAAUGUGAAAAAAAUGGAAAACAAACGAGGGCUUAAAUAGGAAUGAAUGUGUAGUAGGUUUAUGCUUGCUCUUUUAAGUAUUUUUGAGUUCACCUUUUUUCCCCCCCACUUUUUCCUCUCUCAAUGUUGGAAAUGAAUAGAACAAAUACAAACAUGGAAAAUAUGUGGAGAAAUAUAUUUUGUUUGUGUGUGUCGGUGUGGUUGUGGAAGUGUAAAAAUUUACUCGAUAAACCUAAAUAUUUUAUUCAAAAUUAAUUUUCAACCUUGUUUUGUGGGAACUAAAAAUCAGAUUUUUAAUAGAUUUUGAUAAAAGUUAUUGAAAUGUGUGGUCGAAAAAUUGUGAGCCUUAUACAAUGUGUGGUUAAAAUUAGGUAUUGAUUUUGAUUGAAAUUAAAAUAUGAAUUUUGUAUUUUUAAUUCUUUUUUCAACUUUUUCCUCUCUCAGUGUUGGAAAUGAUUCGAAAAAAUACAAGCGUCGAAAAUAUUUGGAGAAACAUAUUUUGAAACUACUGGAAAAUUGGAUGGCUAAUGCCACUUAUCCCAGCCACAUAGGCCCCGUAGCGAAACUCAAAUUGGAUUUUGUUUGUGUGUGUGGUUGUGGAUAGUAAAUGUACUCGAGAAACCUAAAUAUUUUAUCUAAAAUUAAUUUCGCGUGGAGGAUUAAAAUAAAAUUUUCAGCAAAUUUUGAUAAAAAUUAUUGAAAUACGUGUUCGAAAAAUUGUAUUCUCAUAAAAAAUAUGAUUAAAAUUAUUUAUUGACUUUAAUUUAAAUUAAAAUCUGAAUUAAAAAAAAAAGAUUGAACCCCAAUUUUAAGGGUCCCCCCACCACCUCGUCUCUGGAGUAUCGUAAAAGAGGUUUAUCGCGAGAUGUGCCCAACAAGUCGGGGAAUUUUAAUUUGUAGUAGGGUUGAAGUUUCAUCAAAACCCCUCAAAUUCACUCUAUUUAUAACCCCUUCCAAGUCAUCUACAUUAUAGCAACUCUUCAUCUUUAACUUACAGUCCUUGGUAUGAAUCCUCUGCUACCACAAACAAUGUUCAGACAACAUUGUCUGAACCAAAACCAAAAAUCCUGGCGUGUUCUUGCAGCUUACACUCUUCUGGGUUUCUUGUUUAUCAGCCAAUCAUGUACAUCGAUCAGGGCUGAAGAAAACGUGGCUAGAAACCAUACGUGGCAAGAAGCCUUCCAAUUACUUGGAAUAAGCUGGAAUCCUGACGGCACAUUGCAUAGAAAUAUCACAGUCCCUCUGGUGAAUGCCACCCCUUCUGUUACUGACCCGAUAAACCCUCCUGUAGCGCUCUCGAAGGAUGUUCGGCUUAGCCAUAAUAGCAAAGCCUAUGUCCGCCUCUAUAGACCAAUCAAUCCCCCAGAAGACUCCAAGAUUCCACUCAUUUUCUACUUACAUGGAGGUGAUUUUGUGUUGUUUAGUGCAGCGACAGUUACUUUUCAUAACUUUUGUAAUGAUAUCGCCGCGCAGUUCCCGGCGGUGGUGGUAUCUCUCGAGUACCGGCUGGCCCCCGAACACCGCCUCCCGGCAGCUUAUGAUGAUGCC